rnacentral:lncRNA from 1 species
GACAAAUUUGAGAAGGCCAUGGCUGUAGGUGCCACUGAGUGUAUCAGUCCCAAGGACUCUACCAAACCCAUCAGUGAGGUGCUGUCAGAAAUGACAGGCAACAACGUGGGAUACACCUUUGAAGUUAUUGGGCAUCUUGAAACCAUAUUGAUGCCCUGGCAUCCUGCCACAUGAACUAUGGGACCAGCGUGGUUGUAGGAGUUCCUCCAUCAGCCAA